GAAAGUAAGAGUCGUAACAAGGUUUCCGUAGGUGAACCUGCGGAAGGAUCAUUAUUGUAUAACCGAGGUGCGAGGGCUGUCGCUGACCCGAAAGGUCGUGCACGCCCGAGUGCCCUCACACACAUCCAUCUCACCCCUAUGUGCACCACCGCGUGGGUCCCCCUUUGGCUUGUUCGGAGGGGGGCUUACGUUUUCACACAAACUUUGUAUGCAGUGUAGAAUGUAUUUUUUGUUUUUGCGAUCACGCAAUCAAUACAACUUUCAACAACGGAUCUCUUGGCUCUC
rnacentral:misc_RNA from 1 species